AACGAACGCUGGCGGCAGGCCUAACACAUGCAAGUCGAGCGGACCCUUCGGGGUUAGCGGCGGACGGGUGAGUAACGCGUGGGAAUAUGCCCUUCUCUACGGAAUAGUCCUGGGAAACUGGGGGUAAUACCGUAUACGCCCUUUGGGGGAAAGAUUUAUCGGGGAAGGAUUAGCCCGCGUUGGAUUAGGUAGUUGGUGGGGUAAUGGCCUACCAAGCCGACGAUCCAUAGCUGGUUUGAGAGGAUGAUCAGCCACACUGGGACUGAGACACGGCCCAGACUCCUACGGGAGGCAGCAGUGGGGAAUCUUAGACAAUGGGGGCAACCCUGAUCUAGCCAUGCCGCGUGAGUGAUGAAGGCCUUAGGGUUGUGAAGCUCUUUCAGCUGGGAAGAUAAUGACGGUACCAGCAGAAGAAGCCCCGGCUAACUCCGUG
rnacentral:rRNA from 1 species